rfam:Physcomitrella patens subsp. patens PHYPAscaffold_198 genomic scaffold, whole genome shotgun sequence.
UCACUUACCUGGGCGGGGUCGAUCCAUGAUCAGCAUGGUGGAUGGCCUAGGUCAACUGUCGCCAUUGCACUUCGGCCGUGGGAGCCCUAGUAUCUCUCUACGGAGGGCAUACACGUCAUAAUUUGUGGCAGCGAGGGCUCGCGUUCGCGCGGCCCUCU